GGGCGUGUAGCUCAGUGGUAGAGCGCCCGCUUCGCAUGCGGGAAGUCCAGGGUUCGAUCCCCUGUUCGUCCA
rnacentral:tRNA from 1 species